rnacentral:rRNA from 1 species
AUUGAACGCUGGCGGCAGGCUUAACACAUGCAAGUCGAGCGGGGGAAGGUAGCUUGCUACCGGACCUAGCGGCGGACGGGUGAGUAAUGCUUAGGAAUCUGCCUAUUAGUGGGGGACAACAUCUCGAAAGGGAUGCUAAUACCGCAUACGUCCUACGGGAGAAAGCAGGGGAUCUUCGGACCUUGCGCUAAUAGAUGAGCCUAAGUCGGAUUAGCUAGUUGGUGGGGUAAAGGCCUACCAAGGCGACGAUCUGUAGCGGGUCGGAGAGGAUGAUCCGCCACACUGGGACUGAGACACGGCCCAGACGCCUACGGGAGGCAGCAGUGGGGAAUAUUGGACAAUGGGGGGAACCCUGAGCCAGCCAGGCCGAGUGUGUGAAGAAGGCCUUAUGGUUGGAAAGCACUUUAAGCGAGGAGGAGGCUACUUUAGUUAAUACCGAGAGAUAGUGGACGGUACUCGCAGAAUAAGCACCGGCUAACUCUGUG